rnacentral:lncRNA from 1 species
GGCGACUCGGGGCGCCUGGAAGCCCGGCGAGUCGCUGGGGGAAGCAGAGCAGACACCCGGCUCGGCCCGAGCGCAGGGCGCGGAUCCCACGAGUCGGAGCCGGCGGAUCCGAGCCGGUACAUCGGAGCCAGAGCUUGGAGGUCCCCACCCUGUGCCUGUCUCCCUGCCUUGGAAGUGACAGCUGGGGAGCCUGAGGCCUGCAAGACCACUCAGGGGGCUGGAUCGACAGCCCCAGCCCUCCAGUGUGCCUGCCUGGCAGGAGUUCUCAGCAGAAAGCCUGGGGGGGGGGGGGUUCCUCCUCCCUGCUGCCUAACUGUCCUUGUGCCCUCACGCUCUGUGCAUUAGACUCUUGCAGGGCAGGGACGGCAGGAUGUGGCCUCUAUUUACACAUUCCCUCAAUAAAAUCGACUUUCCAA